GCAGAGCUCAAACCUCGUACCUUUUGCAUCAUGAUUUAGCCAGUAACCCUCAAGCAAAGCGUACUUUAGUUUGAUUUCCCGAAACUACGCGAGCUACUCCAAGACAGCCUGUUUAUAGGGCAAACCCGUCUCUGUGGCAAAAGAGUGGGAAGAUCUUUGAGUAGAGGUGACAGACCUAUCGAGCCUAGUUAUAGCUGGUUGCCUAAAAAAUGAAUAGAAGUUCAGCCUCUCGGCUUCUUCCCAAACCUAGAGAGUUAUUCAAAGGGGGUACAGCCCCUUCGAAACAAGACACAACUUUUUUAGAAGGUUAAAGAUCACACCUCACCCCAAGGUGAAAUGUUCGAGUGGGCCUAAAAGCAGCCACCUCCCAGAAAGCGUUAAAGCUCAGACAUUCAAUCCUGCCAAAACAAUCUUAAACCUCUAAGUCUUAUUAGGCCCUCCCAUGCCCCCAUGGGAGUGACCAUGCUAGAAUGAGUAACAAGAAAAGCUUUUCUCCCUGCACAAGUGUAUAUCGGAACGAACAAAGCUCCGAAUCUUAACGAACCCAAACAAAGAGGGCACUAAAUACCAGCAAGAAAACCAUUUACCGUUAACCCCACACUGGCGUGCAUCUUAGGGACGACUAAAAGAAAAAGAAGGAACUCGGCAAACAAGCCUCGCCUGUUUACCAAAAACAUCGCCUCUUGCACAAAUAAGAGGUCCCGCCUGCCCAGUGACUAUAUGUUCAACGGCCGCGGUAUUUUGACCGUGCGAAGGUAGCGCAAUCACUUGUCUUUUAAAUGAAGACCUGUAUGAAUGGCACGACGAGGGCUUGACUGUCUCCUUUUUCCAGUCAGUGAAAUUGAUCCCCCCGUGCAGAAGCGGGGAUUUAAACAUAAGACGAGAAGACCCUAUGGAGCUUUAGACUCUUCGAGCAGACUAUGUUAAACACUCUUUAACAAAAGACUAAACAGUAUAGGCCCUACUCUAAUGUCUUUGGUUGGGGCGACCCUGGGGAAAAACAAAACCCCCAUGAAGACAGGAAGAACUCCCACAAACAAGAGCUACGGCUCUAGUUAACAGAACCUCUGACUUACAUGAUCCGGCCUACGCCGAUCAACGGACCGAGUUACCCUAGGGAUAACAGCGCAAUCCUCUUUUAGAGCUCAUAUCGACAAGGGGGUUUACGACCUCGAUGUUGGAUCAGGACAUCCUAAUGGUGCAG
rnacentral:rRNA from 1 species